rnacentral:rRNA from 1 species
UGAGUACGAGCUGCUACGGCAGCGAAGUGGGUGAUGUCAAGCUUCCAAGAAAAGCCCUAUACCCGUUAAGGCAUGACGGCCUGUACCCGAAACCGUCACAGGUGGGGUGGUAGAGAAUACCGAGGGGCGCGAGAUAACUCUCUCUAAGGAACUCGGCAAAAUGGCCCCGUAACUUCGGGAGAAGGGGUGCCACCGCAAGGUGGUCGCAGUGAAGAGGCCCAGGCGACUGUUUACCAAAAACACAGGUCUCCGCUAAGUCGCAAGACGAUGUAUGGGGGCUGACGCCUGCCCAGUGCCGGAAGGUUAAGGAAGCUGGUCAGCGCAAGCGAAGCUGGCGACUGAAGCCCCGGUGAACGGCGGCCGUAACUAUAACGGUCCUAAGGUAGCGAAAUUCCUUGUCGGGUAAGUUCCGACCCGCACGAAAGGCGUAACGAUCUGGGCGCUGUCUCGGAGAGAGGCUCGGCGAAAUAGAAUUGUCUGUGAAGAUGCGGACUACGUGCACCCGGACAGAAAGACCCUAUGAAGCUUUACUGUAGCUUGGUAUUGCGCCCGGGCUCUGAAUGCGCAGGAUAGGUGGGAGGCUUUGAUCCAUUGCUUGCGGGUGAUGGUGAGCCAACGGUGAGAUACCACUCUUUCAGAGCUAGGGUUCUAACGGUCACCCGUUAUCCGGGGACCGGACAGUAUCAGGUGGGCAGUUUGACUGGGGCGGUCGCCUCCUAAAAGGUAACAGAGGCGCGCAAAGGUUCCCUCAGGCUGGUUGGAAAUCAGCCGACGAGUGUAAAGGCAGAAGGGAGCUUGACUGUGAGACCUACAAGUCGAACAGGGACGAAAGUCGGCCUUAGUGAUCCGACGGUUCUGAGUGGAAGGGCCGUCGCUCAACGGAUAAAAGUUACUCUAGGAUAACAGGCUGAUCUCCCCCAAGAGUUCACAUCGACGGGGAGGUUUGGCACCUCGAUGUCGGCUCAUCGCAACCUGGGGCUGAAGUCGGUCCCAAGGGUUGGGCUGUUCGCCCAUUAAAGCGGUACGCGAGCUGGGUUCAGAACGUCGUGAGACAGUUCGGUCCAUAUCCGGUGCAUGCGCAGGAACAUUGAGAGGAUUUCUCCCUAGUACGAGAGGACCGGGAGGAACGCACCUCUGGUGUACCAGUUAUCGUGCCAACGGUAAACGCUGGGUAGCCAUGUGCGGAGCGGAUAACCGCUGAAAGCAUCUAAGUGGGAAGCCCACCUCAAGAUGAGUGUUCCCAUGGCAUAAGCCAGUAAGGUCACGGGAAGAACACCCGUUGAUAGGCUCUACGUGGAAGCGUGGCAACACGUGAAGCGGAGGAGUACUAAUAGACCGAGGGCUUG